rnacentral:rRNA from 1 species
AGGAUCAUUACCGAACCGUCGACACGAAGCUGUUGCUGGCCCUCGGAUGGGGGCAUGUGCACGCUCUGUUUACACAUCCACUCACACCUGUGCACUCUCUGUGGUUCUAUGGUUUGGGGGCUCGGCCCUCCCACCGUGGGUUCCAUGCAUUUACUACACACACACCGUAACAAAGUCUUAUGGAACGUAUUUCGCGUUUAACGCAAUGCAAUACAACUUUCAGCAACGGAUCUCUUGGCUCUCGCAUCGAUGAAGAACGCAGCGAAAUGCGAUAAGUAAUGUGAAUUGCAGAAUUCAGUGAAUCAUCGAAUCUUUGAACGCACCUUGCGCCCUUUGGCCAUUCCGAAGGGCAUGCCUGUUUGAGUAUCAUAAACGCCUCAACUCCUCACGGCUUGCCGUGAUGAGCUUGGACUUUGGGGGACUUGCUGGCCUGCGGUCGGCUCCUCUCAAAUGAAUCAGCUUGCCAGUGUUUGGUGGCACCAUAGGUGUGAUAAACAUCUGCUCUUGUGGUCCUCCACCAUAUAACCUUCGGCGAUAUGGAGGUUUGCUGGAGCUCACAAAUGUCUUUCCUCGGUGAAGACGGCUCUCGAUUGUUUGGUCUCAAAUCAGGUAGGACUACCCGCUGAACUUAA